GGGGAUUUAGCUCAGUGGUGUAAGCGCCUGCCUGGCAAGCACGUGGCCAUGAGUUUGAUCCCCA
rnacentral:tRNA from 1 species